GUGAUAGGAGAACAAAAAAGUUACAGUGGCUUCUCAUGAGAAGAGCAGAAACAAUAGCCAGCUUGGCUGCUUCCAUGAGAGUUGGACCCAAAUCCAACUCCUUAGCUGCCAUCUCUCUCUCUCUGAUUGUAGUAGGUCCUCUGCAGGCAGGGCUUGAACUACCCUCUUGGAUCAUAGUGGAUUGAUUCUAUGCUUCCAGGACAAGGGAGCAAUGUGCUGGUAGUAUACAUGUACACUGCACCUCCUGACAGCUGUUCAUCUGAUACCUCAGACAGGACAUCCAUCCAACUGACAAGAGUGAGGGUGAAGAGAACACUUGCUCGCAAGAGGAGUCCCAGUUGCUCGGAACCGAUGCUGUGCCAUCAAGCUGUUUGCUUUUCUGUGGCAGACAAGAGGAUGUGUUCAUGCUUCAGUCUGUGUCCUUGUGGUGUCCAUGGCCCUCACCUAUAUUGGAAGGAUGCAGAUGAAGCUAUGUUGUGGGAUACUGCCAAGCUUUGAAGGAAACUGGGGAUGUCCUUCCACAGUUUUGCUGAAACAGACAUUGUGAUUAGAGGCAACCAUGGAUGGUAGAAGCAGGAAAAAUGCUGAUGCUGAACCACUUUGAGCAUCUCCACUGAUGAACAAGCAGAUCUCAGCCCAUAUACAAGCAUUUCACCUCCAGCCAACACAGGUCACAGUGCCAAUGUUGUUUAAUCCAAAGGAUGUCGUGUUCUUUACCUUCAAUGUCUUGCAACCUUACAGUUCAUGCAGUGAUC